rnacentral:rRNA from 1 species
UCUGUUUUGUUAAUCCUGCGGAGGGAUCAUUACCGAGUUUACAACUCCCAAACCCAAUGUGAACGUUACCAAACUGUUGCCUCGGCGGGAUCUCUGCCCCGGGUGCGUCGCAGCCCCGGACCAAGGCGCCCGCCGGAGGACCAACCAAAACUCUUAUUGUAUACCCCCUCGCGGGUUUUUUUAUAAUCUGAGCCUUCUCGGCGCCUCUCGUAGGCGUUUCGAAAAUGAAUCAAAACUUUCAACAACGGAUCUCUUGGUUCUGGCAUCGAUGAAGAACGCAGCGAAAUGCGAUAAGUAAUGUGAAUUGCAGAAUUCAGUGAAUCAUCGAAUCUUUGAACGCACAUUGCGCCCGCCAGUAUUCUGGCGGGCAUGCCUGUCCGAGCGUCAUUUCAACCCUCGAACCCCUCCGGGGGGUCGGCGUUGGGGAUCGGCCCUGCCUUGGCGGUGGCCGUCUCCGAAAUACAGUGGCGGUCUCGCCGCAGCCUCUCCUGCGCAGUAGUUUGCACACUCGCAUCGGGAGCGCGGCGCGUCCACAGCCGUUAAACACCCAACUUCUGAAAUGUUGACCUCGGGAUCAGGUAGGAAUACCCGCUGAACUUAAGCAUAUCA